GAUCAUUAUCGAAUUACAGAGGGUUGAUGCUGGCAGUCUAACUGCAUGUGCUCAUUCUCCUAAUCCAUUUACACUUUGUGCACAUUGCUUUUGAAGGGAGGGUAGAACCUGCCUUCGAAAUUUACAAGCUCUUAUCUGUGAUUAUGAAUGUUUGACUGCCGCAAGGCAAAAAUUUAAUACAACUUUUAACAACGGAUCUCUUGGCUCUCGCAUCGAUGAAGAACGCAGCGAAAUGCGAUAAGUAAUGUGAAUUGCAGAAUUCAGUGAAUCAUCGAAUCUUUGAACGCACCUUGCGCUCCCUGGUAUUCCGGGGAGCACGCCUGUUCGAGUGUCAUGAAACUCUCAAGCAAGAUAGAUUUGUUUCUGUCUUUGUUUGGAUUUGGACUUUGCUGUGUUCCAUGCAGCUGGUCUUAAAUGUAUUAGCUGGUCCUGAUGAAGGUUUGGUUCUACUCGGCGUGAUAAUUAUCUAACGUUGAGGACAGUCUCUGGGACUGGCCAGGCUCUCUUUGGAUUGCUUCUAAUCAUCUUAGGAUAAUUGCUUAAUAUCUGACCUCGAAUCAGGUGGGACUACCCGCUGAACUUAAGCAUAUCAAUAAGCGGAGGAAAAGAAACUAACAAGGAUUCCCCUAGUAACGGCGAGUGAAGCGGGAUGAGCUCAAAUUUAAAAUCUGGUAGUCUUUGGCUGCCCGAGUUGUAAUCUAGAGAAGUGUUUUCCGCGCUGGACUGUGUACAAGUUUCCUGGAUAUGGAACAUCAUAGAGGGUGAGAAUCCCGUCCUUGACACAGACUCCCAGUGCUUUGUGAUGCGCUCUCAAAGAGUCGAGUUGUUUGGGAAUGCAGCUCAAAAUGGGUGGUAAAUUCCAUCUAAAGCUAAAUAUUGGCGAGAGACCGAUAGCGAACAAGUACCGUGAGGGAAAGAUGAAAAGAACUUUGGAAAGAGAGUUAAACAGUACGUGAAAUUGCUGAAAGGGAAACGCUUGAAGUCAGUCGCGUUGUCCAGAGAUCAACCUUGCUUUUGCUUGGUGCACUUUCUGGUUCAACGGGUCAGCAUCAAUUUUGACUAUUGGAAAAAGGUUGAGGGAAUGUGGCAUCUUUGGAUGUGUUAUAGCCCUUGGUUGUAUACAAUGGUUGGGAUUGAGGAACUCAGCACGCCGCAAGGCCGGGUUUUAA
rnacentral:rRNA from 1 species